rnacentral:rRNA from 1 species
UCCCUUAAUUUAACAGCAAAGAAAAAUUAAAUAUCUCAGAAGACACAUGCUAGCUAAAAAACACAAUGGUGGAAACAAAUGCAGUGUUUAUAAAAUAUACAAUAAUAUUACACACACUAGACAAUAAAAACAAAAAAUAAACACAACUCAACUGAAAUCAAAUAACAGCAGUGCAAUAUAUUAUGCAAUAUACAAACGUAUGACAUUACAAGAUACCUAAAAAAAAUAAAAAGGAUAGUCAAACCAGUGUGCCAGCAGACGCGGUUACACACACUAUCCUAAUUUUUUCUUUCGAAACAGGAUUAUGCAAAAGAUUAAAAAAAUAAAAUAAGAAAUAAAGCACAUAACCAAAUAGUAAAAAGUACACACAAAAAACUUUCCCUAACCAAUUCCUAAAAUAUACGUAUCUAUACGCCAAAGUAUAAAAAACAAAGAGGAUUAGAUACCCUCGUAGACUAUACCCUAAACAACAAACAAACCCAAAUAACUAAAAAAAAUAAAUACCUAACACAUAAAAUCGCAAGAUUCACAAAAAAAAUAAAUUUGAGGGAAUUUAAUGCUAUCAGAGGGGCGUAUAUCUUAAUGUGAAACUACACAAAAACCUUACCUAAACACAACAAGUGACACAUAACCGUGCAAUAUUACUCUAAAGUAAUAUAAAAUUUAUACCCACACAGGAAAAACACCGGUCCACAUAUCCUUAAUAUUUAGGGCAGAUAAGCGCCACAAAUUACUAAUAACAGUACACCUAACAAUAAACUGAAAAAUAAAAACAAGGAGAAUUUGAAAGUAAUCAUUAACCAGCACAAAAUGGUGAACCAACAAACAAUUACUACAUACUGCCCGUCAAUUGCUUCACAUAAAAAAACAAAAAAACCAAAAAAAGAUAAAAAUAAAAACAAAAAGCAAUAAGUCGUAACAAGGUAGCCGUAUCUGAAGAUGCUGCUGAAAAACA